GGUCAAGCGUAUAAGGGCACACAAUGGAUGCCUUGGCAUUGGAAGGCGAUGAAAGACGUGAUAAGCUGCGAUAAGCUUCGGGUAGCGGCAAAUACGCAUUGAUCCGGAGAUUUCUGAAUGGGGAAACCCAGCACCGGUAAUUCGGUGUUACUGGAGUUUGAAUAAAAUAGGGCUUCAGGGCGACACCUGGGGAAGUGAAACAUCUCAGUACCCAGAGGAAGAGAAAACAAUAGUGAUUCCGUAAGUAGUGGCGAGCGAACGCGGAACAGUCUAAACCAAUCCGCUUGCGGGUUGGGGUUGCGGGACCACGUCAUGAUACUCUGAUGGAUAGCAGAACGUUCUGGAAAGUUCGGCCAUAGCGGGUGAUAGCCCCGUAUGUGAAAUCUUGAUGAGAUCUAGUGGUAUCCCAAGUAGGGCGGGACACGUGAAACCCUGUCUGAAUCCGGGGGGCCCACCCCCCAAGACUAAAUACUCACCAAUGACCGAUAGUGAACUAGUACCGCGAGGGAAAGGUGAAAAGUACCCCUGUUAGGGGAGUGAAAUAGUACCUGAAAUUGUGUGCUUACAAACUGUGGGAGUCCUUCGGGAUGACCGCAUGCCUUUUGCAUAAUGAGUCUGCGAGUUACAGUAUGUGGCAAGGUUAAGCCUUCUGGGAAUAGCCGAAGCGAAAGCGAGUACGAAAUGUGCGCCACAGUCGCCUGCUGUAGACCAGAAGCCGGGUGAGCUACCCAUGGGCAGGUUGAAUCUUCUGUAACAGGAAGGGGAGGACCGAACCAUUGCAUGUUGAAAAAUGCUUGGAUGACCUGUGGGUGGGAGUGAAAGGCUUACCAAACUCGGUGAUAGCUGGUUCUCCUCGAAAUAGCUUUAGGGCUAGCCUCACGUGGUAGCAGAUGGAGGUAGAGCACUGACUGGAUGAUGGCCCUUACCAGGGUACUGACGCCAUUCAAACUCCGAAUGCCAUCUGUGGAAUCGUGGGAGUUAGACUAUGGGGGAUAAGCUCCAUAGUCGAAAGGGAAACAGCCCAGACCGCCAGUUAAGGCCCCUAAAGUCGGUUCAGUGACUAAGGAUGUAAAACUGCGAUGACAGCUAGGAUGUUGGCUUAGAGGCAGCCACCAUUUAAACAGUGCGUAACAGCUGACUAGUCGAGUGAUUUUGCGCCGAAAAUGAUCGGGACUAAAUCGACUGCCGACGCUGCGGAUGUGCGUCUUUAGACGCACGUGGUAGAGGAGCGUUCCAUACGAGCUGAAGCUCAACCGUAAGGCGGAGUGGAUUGUAUGGAAGUGAUUAUGCAGACAUGAGUAACGAAAAGUAAGGUGAGAAUCCUUACCGCCGAAAUCCUAAGGUUUCCUGGGGAAGGUUCGUCCGCCCAGGGUUAGUCGGCCCCUAAGCUGAGGCUGAAAAGCGUAAGCGAUGGGAAACAGGCUUAAUAUUCCUGUACUGCCGAUAUGGCGUUUGAGUGAUGGAGUGACGCAGUAGGCUAGGCCGGCCAUCGAUUGGAAGUGAUGGUCUAAGUGCGUAGGAAGUUCUGGCAGGCAAAUCCACCGGAAUAAUUCUGAAACACGAUGGGACGUGAAGCCUUCGGGUGACACGGAUCGGUCGAUGCCACGCUGACUAGAAAAGCUUCGUAGCGAGUCAUAUAGGCAACCGUACCAAAACCGACACAGGUAGGAGGGUAGAAUAUACCAAGGCGCGCGAGAGAAACCAUGUUAAGGAACUCGGCAAUCUAGCCCCGUAACUUCGGGAGAAGGGGUCCUUUUGAUCGUGAUUAUUCUUCGGUUUAUGAGCGAUUGGAAGGCGCAGUGAAAGAGCCCAGGCGACUGUUUACCAAAAACAUAGCACUCUGCUAACUCGUAAGAGGACGUAUAGAGUGUGACACGUGACCAAUGCCAAAAGGUUAAGGCAAGAGGUUAGUCUUCGGACGAAGCUUCGACCCGAAGCCCUGGUGAAUGUCGGCCGUAACUAUAACGGUCCUAAGGUAGCGAAAUUCCUUGUCGGGUAAGUUCCGACCUGCACGAAUCGUGUAACGAUCUGGGCGCUGUCUCAACAUGGAUCUCGGUGAAGUUGUAAUUCCGGUGAAGAUGCCGGAUACCCGCAGUAGGACGGAAAGACCCCGUGAACCUUUACUGUAAUCUGAUAUUGGUGUUUGGUUUAUCAUGUGUAGCAUAGCUGGGAGACUUUGAAGUCACUUCGUUAGGAGUGGUGGAGUCAUUAGUGAAAUACCAGUCUUGUUAAGGCGACCAUCUAACCCUGGCCCGUGAAUCCGGGUGGGGGACAAUGUCAGAGGGUCAGUUUGACUGGGGCGGUUUCCUCCCAAACAGUAACGGAGGAGUUCUAAGGUACCCUCAGCAUGGUCGGCAAUCAUGCGUAGAGCGUAAUGGUAGAUAGGGUGCUUGACUGCGAGACCUACAAGUCGAGCAGGUGCGAAAGCAGGACAUAGUGAUCCGGUGGUUGCUCGUGGUAGCGCCAUCGCUCAUCGGACAAAAGGUACUCCGGGGAUAACAGGCUGAUCGCUGCCGAGAGUUCACAUCGACGCAGCGGUUUGGCACCUCGAUGUCGGCUCAUCGCAUCCUGGGGCUGGAGAAGGUCCCAAGGGUUUGGCUGUUCGCCAAUUAAAGCGGUACGCGAGCUGGGUUCAGAACGUCGUAAGACAGUUCGGUCCUUAUCCACUGUGGGCGUAGGAGAUUUGAGGAGAACAUUCCCUAGUACGAGAGGACCGGGAAUGACGCACCUCUGGUGUUCCUGUUGUCGUGCCAACGGCAUCGCAGGGUAGCUAUGUGCGGAACGGAUAAGCGCUGAAAGCAUCUAAGCGCCAAGCCUCCUCCAAGACUAGAUCUCCCUGUUCCUUCGGGAACCUAAAGGCAGGUUGAAGACUACGACCUUGAUAGGCUGGAUGUGUACGCACAGCGAUGUGUUUAGCUAACCAGUACUAAUCUGCCGUGAGGCUUGAUCUU
rnacentral:rRNA from 1 species